rnacentral:misc_RNA from 1 species
UCCGGUUUGUCACCGGCAGUCUCCUUAGAGUUCCCGACAUUACUCGCUGGCAACUAAGGACAAGGGUUGCGCUCGUUGCGGGACUUAACCCAACAUCUCACGACACGAGCUGACGACAGCCAUGCAGCACCUGUCUCACGGUUCCCGAAGGCACAUCCGCAUCUCUGCAGACUUCCGUGGAUGUCAAGACCAGGUAAGGUUCUUCGCGUUGUACACCUGAAC